rnacentral:rRNA from 1 species
GCAUAUCAAUAAGCGGAGGAAAAGAAAAUAACAAUGAUUUCCCUAGUAACGGCGAGUGAAGAGGAAAGAGCUCAAAGUUGGAACCUGUUUGGCUUAGCUAAACCGGAUUGUAAACUGUAGAAGUGUUUUCCAGACACGCCUGGUAAAAAAGUCCUUUGGAACAGGGCAUCAUAGAGGGUGAGAAUCCCGUCUUUGGCCAGAGCUGUUGUCUUUUGUGAUACAUUUUCAAAGAGUCAGGUUGUUUGGGAAUGCAGCCUAAAUUGGGUGGUAAAUCUCACCUAAAGCUAAAUAUUUGCGAGAGACCGAUAGCGAACAAGUACCGUGAGGGAAAGAUGAAAAGAACUUUGAAAAGAGAGUUAAACAGUAUGUGAAAUUGUUAAAAGGGAACCGUUUGGAGCCAGACUGGCUUGAUCGUAAUCAAUCUAAGCUUCGGCUUGGAUGCACUUGCGGUCUUUGCCUGCCAACGACAAUUUUUUUUGGAGGAAAAAACUAGGAGAAAUGUGGCCCCUCGGGGUGUUAUAGUCUUUUAGAAAAUACUCUGAAUUGGAUUGAGGAACGCAGUGAAUGCCUUUAGGCAAGAUUGCUGGGCGCUUUCGCUGAUAGGUGUUAGAAUUUCUGCCUUGGGUGGUGCUAAUAGUUAAAGGAGAAACUCGCUUAGUAUAUUUUUUAUUCGCUUAGGUUGUUGGCUUAAUGACUCUAAAUGACCCGUCUUGAAACACGGACCAAGGAGUCCACCAUUAGUGCGAGUAUUUGGGUGACAAACUCAUAUGCGCAAGGAAACUGAUUGAUACGAAAUCUUUAAGAUGGCAGUAUCACCCGGCGAAGACGUUUUAUACUGAACCGACCGAGGUAAAGCACUAAUGAUGGGACCCGAAAGAUGGUGAACUAUGCCUGAAUAGGGUGAAGCCGGAGGAAACUCCGGUGGAGGCUCGUAGCGAUUCUGACGUGCAAAUCGAUCGUCAAAUUUGGGUAUAGGGGCGAAAGACUAAUCGAACCAUCUAGUAGCUGGUUCCUGCGA